rnacentral:rRNA from 1 species
UACAGAGGUCCCAAGCGUUGUUCGGAUUCAUUGGGCGUAAAGGGUGCGUAGGCGGCGCGGUAAGUCGGGUGUGAAAUCUCGGAGCUUAACUCCGAAACUGCAUUCGAUACUGCCGUGCUUGAGGACUGGAGAGGAGACUGGAAUUUACGGUGUAGCGGUGAAAUGCGUAGAUAUCGUAAGGAAGACCAGUGGCGAAGGCGGGUCUCUGGACAGUUCCUGACACUGAGGCACGAAGGUCAGGGGAGCAAACGGG